rnacentral:sRNA from 1 species
UGCGUCUACACAUGCCGCGGUGUCGGGU